rnacentral:rRNA from 4 species
AGCGCAUACGGUGGAUGCCUUGGCAGUCAGAGGCGAUGAAAGACGUGGUAGCCUGCGAAAAGCUUCGGGGAGUCGGCAAACAGACUGUGAUCCGGAGAUGUCUGAAUGGGGGAACCCAGCCAUCAUAAGAUGGUUAUCUUACACUGAAUACAUAGGUGUAAGAGGCGAACCAGGGGAACUGAAACAUCUAAGUACCCUGAGGAAAAGAAAUCAACCGAGAUUCCCUUAGUAGUGGCGAGCGAACGGGGACCAGCCCUUAAGUUGUAUUGAGAUUAGCGGAACGCUCUGGAAAGGGCGGCCAUAGUGGGUGAUAGCCCUGUACGCGAAAAUCCCUUUGCAAUGAAAUCGAGUAGGACGGGGCACGAGAAACCUUGUCUGAAUAUGGGGGGACCAUCCUCCAAGGCUAAAUACUACUGACUGACCGAUAGUGAACCAGUACCGUGAGGGAAAGGCGAAAAGAACCGCGGAGAGCGGAGUGAAAUAGAUCCUGAAACCGUAUGCGUACAAGCAGUGGGAGCCCACUUUGUUGGGUGACUGCGUACCUUUUGUAUAAUGGGUCAGCGACUUAUUUUCAGUGGCGAGCUUAACCGAAUAGGGGAGGCGUAGCGAAAGCGAGUCUUAAUAGGGCGUCUAGUCGCUGGGAAUAGACCCGAAACCGGGCGAUCUAUCCAUGGGCAGGUUGAAGGUUGGGUAACACUAACUGGAGGACCGAACCGACUACCGUUGAAAAGUUAGCGGAUGACCUGUGGAUCGGAGUGAAAGGCUAAUCAAGCUCGGAGAUAGCUGGUUCUCCUCGAAAGCUAUUUAGGUAGCGCCUCAUGUAUCACUGUAGGGGGUAGAGCACUGUUUCGGCUAGGGGGUCAUCCCGACUUACCAAACCGAUGCAAACUCCGAAUACCUACAAGUGCCGAGCAUGGGAGACACACGGCGGGUGCUAACGUCCGUCGUGAAAAGGGAAACAACCCAGACCGUCAGCUAAGGUCCCAAAGUCAUGGUUAAGUGGGAAACGAUGUGGGAAGGCUUAGACAGCUAGGAGGUUGGCUUAGAAGCAGCCACCCUUUAAAGAAAGCGUAAUAGCUCACUAGUCGAGUCGGCCUGCGCGGAAGAUGUAACGGGGCUCAAACCAUGCACCGAAGCUACGGGUAUCAUCUUUUGAUGAUGCGGUAGAGGAGCGUUCUGUAAGCCUGUGAAGGUGAGUUGAGAAGCUUGCUGGAGGUAUCAGAAGUGCGAAUGCUGACAUGAGUAACGACAAUGGGUGUGAAAAACACCCACGCCGAAAGACCAAGGUUUCCUGCGCAACGUUAAUCGACGCAGGGUUAGUCGGUCCCUAAGGCGAGGCUGAAAAGCGUAGUCGAUGGAAAACAGGUUAAUAUUCCUGUACUUCUGGUUAUUGCGAUGGAGGGACGGAGAAGGCUAGGCCAGCCUGGCGUUGGUAGUCCAGGUUUAAGGUGGUAGGCUGAGAUCUUAGGUAAAUCCGGGAUCUUAAGGCCGAGAGCUGAUGACGAGUGUUCUUUUAGAACAUGAAGUGGUUGAUGCCAUGCUUCCAAGAAAAGCUUCUAAGCUUCAGGUAACCAGGAACCGUACCCCAAACCGACACAGGUGGUUGGGUAGAGAAUACCAAGGCGCUUGAGAGAACUCGGGUGAAGGAACUAGGCAAAAUGGCACCGUAACUUCGGGAGAAGGUGCGCCGGUGAGGGUGAAGCAUUUACUGCGUAAGCCCACGCCGGUCGAAGAUACCAGGCCGCUGCGACUGUUUAUUAAAAACACAGCACUCUGCAAACACGAAAGUGGACGUAUAGGGUGUGACGCCUGCCCGGUGCCGGAAGGUUAAUUGAUGGGGUUAGCGCAAGCGAAGCUCUUGAUCGAAGCCCCGGUAAACGGCGGCCGUAACUAUAACGGUCCUAAGGUAGCGAAAUUCCUUGUCGGGUAAGUUCCGACCUGCACGAAUGGCGUAACGAUGGCGGCGCUGUCUCCACCCGAGACUCAGUGAAAUUGAAAUCGCUGUGAAGAUGCAGUGUAUCCGCGGCUAGACGGAAAGACCCCGUGAACCUUUACUAUAGCUUUGCACUGGACUUUGAAUUUGCUUGUGUAGGAUAGGUGGGAGGCUUUGAAGCGUGGACGCCAGUCUGCGUGGAGCCAACCUUGAAAUACCACCCUGGCAACUUUGAGGUUCUAACUCAGGUCCGUUAUCCGGAUCGAGGACAGUGUAUGGUGGGUAGUUUGACUGGGGCGGUCUCCUCCUAAAGAGUAACGGAGGAGUACGAAGGUGCGCUCAGACCGGUCGGAAAUCGGUCGUAGAGUAUAAAGGCAAAAGCGCGCUUGACUGCGAGACAGACACGUCGAGCAGGUACGAAAGUAGGUCUUAGUGAUCCGGUGGUUCUGUAUGGAAGGGCCAUCGCUCAACGGAUAAAAGGUACUCCGGGGAUAACAGGCUGAUACCGCCCAAGAGUUCAUAUCGACGGCGGUGUUUGGCACCUCGAUGUCGGCUCAUCACAUCCUGGGGCUGAAGCCGGUCCCAAGGGUAUGGCUGUUCGCCAUUUAAAGUGGUACGCGAGCUGGGUUUAGAACGUCGUGAGACAGUUCGGUCCCUAUCUGCCGUGGACGUUUGAGAUUUGAGAGGGGCUGCUCCUAGUACGAGAGGACCGGAGUGGACGAACCUCUGGUGUUCCGGUUGUCACGCCAGUGGCAUUGCCGGGUAGCUAUGUUCGGAAAAGAUAACCGCUGAAAGCAUCUAAGCGGGAAACUUGCCUCAAGAUGAGAUCUCACUGGAACCUUGA